CUAGUGAAAUACCAGACACAAUUAGGAGACUCAAUGCUCUUUAUAUGUUCAAUGUAUCACAUUAUGACUCCACAGGCUUAAUCCCACCAUCUAUCUAGAAUUUGAGUCAGCAAGAAUCAUUAGACAUGUCAUGGAACAAAUUAACUGGAGACAUCCCAUCAACGCUCACAAAUCUUCCUUUCCUUUCCUCCUUAAAUCUCUCAUACAAUCAAUUGGAAGGAAGAAUCCCAGCAGGCUCCCAGUUUCAGACCUUCCAAGACACAUUAUACAAAGGAGACAUAGGAUUAUGCGGGUCUCCAUGGAUGAUCACCAAUAAAGAUUUUGAUCUGUAUGUUUUUUCAAGACUCAUUUCAGCAUUAUUUUUGUAUAUGGCAUCGGUAAUCAUGAAGCUCAACAUGCUCUUGUUUAUAAUGUUGUUCAAGAGAUCUUUCCUAUAACAACUUUAGUGAAAAUACUGUACCAUCAGGUUGUGACAGAUCACUGAACUUAUACAGAAGCUACUCUACUGGGAAUAAUUCAGAGCUUUGAAAGUGCCUUCGUCCUUGCAUCUAGAGUAAUGAGCAACAUUGUUUCCAGUAACAUUGUGUUUCCAUAAUAUUAAAAACAAAUUAAGCUGCUCCCUUUAAUGUUUCUCCAGACAUAUCUUCAGUUCAUAUCAAUUGUGGUGGGCCAAGAGUUACCAAUGGAAAAAAGACUUAUGAAGCAGAUGAAGAUCCAGGUGGACCUGCAAUUUUUGUUCCUUCAAACGAGAAUUAUUGCGGAUAUAGCAGCACAAGAAGUAUAUGGAAACUUAAGGACAACCUUAUUAAACAUGCCACAACUAAUUUAUAUAUAGUAUUUUUGUCUAACAAAUACUAAAUAAUGUGUUCCCAGGUUUAACCUUGUGGUUGGUGGUGGGCCCAAUGGUAGUGUUAUUCCUAAUGCAUGAAACGAUCAGAAUGUCACAACUCACACAUAGUUUUACUUAUUACUUAGAUAAUAUUAUAAAGUUUUGUAAUUAGUUUCAUGAUGUUUUAUGAUUUCAGAGAGAAGUGUAUGAUCUAGUUGUAUGUAUUCAACUUUGCAAACCUGGUAUGAGCAUCCAGCAUAUACACAACUACUCGGUAUAAAUUUAUUACUGAUUAAAUCUUUGGUUCUGAAUAUCAUCACCUUUGAGGUUGAGAAACUUUGUAGAGGAUUAAAGGCGAUGGGAAUUUUGAAAGAUCUUGAAGAGAAUGUGGAAAAGGACUGGAAUGGGGCGUGGGAGUCUUGCAAGUUUUGUUGUAGUUAAUGAAGAAGAAACUUGCAGAGAAGAACCAAAAAUCAAAAGGAUCUCAAUUUGAAGCACGUGUCGUUGCUCUCAAAAUUACAUGCCCUAUCUGUUUAGCUGAGAGAGGAAGGAAUUCGGAAGAUUGUUUGCUUGUUUUAGUUCAACCGGGCUUUAGAUUACACAUUUGGUUGAACUUUGAUCUUUGUUUUGUUUGCUUGUUUUAGUUCUAUUUGGAUUUAUUUCUGUUUGAAUUUGAUCUAGGUUUCAUUUGGGUGAUUAGACAAGAUGAUAUAUUAUAUGAAAUUAUUGCAUUUAGAUAAUUGCAAGUGAUAGUAUAUCUAUAUGAACAAUAGUAAUUUUGUGGCAGAGGCUUGAAACAAAUUAGAUGAUACACAUAGAUAUAGAAUAAUUUCUUGCUUAUUUAAGUUUCAUUUAGUUCUGAAUGAUAGUAAAUGACCAUUUUACCCUUUUGUCCGGAAUUAGUACCUAAUGAAAAAAAUGACUUUCUUGUUUGACAACUGCUUGUUGUAAUUGACUUACAAAUCUCUUUUAAAACCUUGUUCUCAACCCUUUUUUAUAUUAGCAAAGAAGCAAUAUUU